UACGUAGGGUGCGAGCGUUAAUCGGAAUUACUGGGCGUAAAGCGUGCGCAGGCGGUCCGCAAAGUCUGAUGUGAAAGCCCCGGGCUCAACCUGGGAACUGCAUUGGAAACUAACGGGCUCGAGUGUGGCAGAGGGGGGUGGAAUUCCGCGUGUAGCAGUGAAAUGCGUAGAGAUGCGGAGGAACACCGAUGGCGAAGGCAGCCCCCUGGGCUAACACUGACGCUCAGGCACGAAAGCGUGGGGAGCAAACAGG
rnacentral:rRNA from 1 species